rnacentral:rRNA from 1 species
UACGUAGGCAGCAAGCGUUGUUCGGAAUUACUGGGCGUAAAGAGUGUGUAGGCGGUGCUCUAAGUCUGUUGUGAAAUCUCCCGGCUUAACUGGGAGGGUGCGGCGGAGACUGGAGUGCUAGAGUGUGGGAGAGGUAAGCGGAAUUCCUGGUGUAGCGGUGAAAUGCUUAGAUAUGACAUAGAACACCAAUUGCGAAGGCAGCUGGCUACAGGGAUAUUGACACUGAGGCACGAAAGCGUGGGGAUCAAACAGG